GGCGCUGUGGCUUAGUUGGUCAAAGCGCCUGUCUCGUAAACAGGAGAUCCUGGGUACAAAUCCCAGCAGUGCCU
rnacentral:tRNA from 1 species